rnacentral:rRNA from 1 species
AUUGAACGCUGGCGGCAGGCUUAACACAUGCAAGUCGAGCGGGGUGAUGGUGCUUGCACUAUCACUUAGCGGCGGACGGGUGAGUAAUGCUUAGGAAUCUGCCUAUUAGUGGGGGACACCAUCUCGAAAGGGAUACUAAUACCGCAUACGUCCUACGGGAGAAAGCAGGGGAUCACUUGUGACCUUGCGCUAAUAGAUGAGCCUAAGUCGGAUUAGCUAGUUGGUGGGGUAAAGGCCUACCAAGGCGACGAUCUGUAGCGGGUCUGAGAGGAUGAUCCGCCACACUGGGACUGAGACACGGCCCAGACUCCUACGGGAGGCAGCAGUGGGGAAUAUUGGACAAUGGGGGGAACCCUGAUCCAGCCAUGCCGCGUGUGUGAAGAAGGCCUUAUGGUUGUAAAGCACUUUAAGCGAGGAGGAGGCUCUUUUGGUUAAUACCCAAGAUGAGUGGACGUUACUCGCAGAAUAAGCACCGGCUAACUCUGUGCCAGCAGCCGCCGUAA